UUUGAACACUAUCAUAAGCCUUCUCCUGUGUGUAUAGUAAAUUAGUAAAAAUUAAAAACGCUAUGUUAACUGCUUCAAUGUUAUUAAAAAUAUCCAAGACCCAAAUUUAUAGCAUGAUAUGAAGAAAUUAUCUGAUAUUUGUAUAAUUGAGAUGGUUUGAUUCUCGACUCAGUUCUUUGCUUGUUGGAAUGCUAUCUUCGUUGUUUCAAAUCACCAGUGACCCAUAAUUUGUGUCAUUCAGUAAAGCUUGGAAUUUGCUAGUGUUGUAGCAAUUUCUGGUGAUACUAAUCAAGAAUUAAAAUGGCUAUUAGUAUUUCCUUCUGUUAUUGAUGAAAUUUGUUCUAGAUGGCUGCAUGUGGACCUUUUUUUUUUUUUUUCAGUC
rnacentral:misc_RNA from 1 species